rnacentral:rRNA from 1 species
CUACGUGCCAGCAGCCGCGGUAAUACGGAAGGUCCAGGCGUUAUCCGGAUUUAUUGGGUUUAAAGGGAGCGUAGGCCGUGGAUUAAGCGUGUUGUGAAAUGUGGACGCUCAACGUCUGAAUUGCAGCGCGAACUGGUUCACUUGAGUAUGCACAACGUAGGCGGAAUUCGUCGUGUAGCGGUGAAAUGCUUAGAUAUGACGAAGAACUCCGAUUGCGAAGGCAGCUUACGGGAGCACAACUGACGCUGAAGCUCGAAGGUGCGGGUAUCAAACAGGAUUAGAUACCCUGGUAGUCCGCACAGUAAACGAUGGAUGCCCGCUGUUGGUACCUGGUAUCAGCGGCUAAGCGAAAGCAUUAAGCAUCCCACCUGGGGAGUACGCCGGCAACGGUGAAACUCAAAGGAAUUGACGGGGGCCCGCACAAGCGGAGGAACAUGUGGUUUAAUUCGAUGAUACGCGAGGAACCUUACCCGGGCU